AGAGUUUGAUCCUGGCUCAGGAUGAACGCUGGCGGCAUGCCUAAUACAUGCAAGUCGAACGAAGUUUCGAGGAAGCUUGCUUCCAAAGAGACUUAGUGGCGAACGGGUGAGUAACACGUAGGUAACCUGCCCAUGUGUCCGGGAUAACUGCUGGAAACGGUAGCUAAAACCGGAUAGGUAUACAGAGCGCAUGCUCAGUAUAUUAAAGCGCCCAUCAAGGCGUGAACAUGGAUGGACCUGCGGCGCAUUAGCUAGUUGGUGAGGUAACGGCCCACCAAGGCGAUGAUGCGUAGCCGGCCUGAGAGGGUAACCGGCCACAUUGGGACUGAGACACGGCCCAAACUCCUACGGGAGGCAGCAGUAGGGAAUUUUCGUCAAUGGGGGAAACCCUGAACGAGCAAUGCCGCGUGAGUGAAGAAGGUCUUCGGAUCGUAAAGCUCUGUUGUAAGUGAAGAACGGCUCAUAGAGGAAAUGCUAUGGGAGUGACGGUAGCUUACCAGAAAGCCACGGCUAACUACGUGCCAGCAGCCGCGGUAAUACGUAGGUGGCAAGCGUUAUCCGGAAUCAUUGGGCGUAAAGGGUGCGUAGGUGGCGUACUAAGUCUGUAGUAAAAGGCAAUGGCUCAACCAUUGUAAGCUAUGGAAACUGGUAUGCUGGAGUGCAGAAGAGGGCGAUGGAAUUCCAUGUGUAGCGGUAAAAUGCGUAGAUAUAUGGAGGAACACCAGUGGCGAAGGCGGUCGCCUGGUCUGUAACUGACACUGAGGCACGAAAGCGUGGGGAGCAAAUAGGAUUAGAUACCCUAGUAGUCCACGCCGUAAACGAUGAGAACUAAGUGUUGGAGGAAUUCAGUGCUGCAGUUAACGCAAUAAGUUCUCCGCCUGGGGAGUAUGCACGCAAGUGUGAAACUCAAAGGAAUUGACGGGGGCCCGCACAAGCGGUGG
rnacentral:rRNA from 1 species